rnacentral:rRNA from 1 species
UACGAAGGGGGCUAGCGUUGCUCGGAAUCACUGGGCGUAAAGGGUGCGUAGGCGGGUCUUUAAGUCAGAGGGGAAAUCCUGGAGCUCAACUCCAGAACUGCCUUUGAUACUGAGGAUCUUGAGUACGGGAGAGGUGAGUGGAACUGCGAGUGUAGAGGUGAAAUUCGUAGAUAUUCGCAAGAACACCAGUGGCGAAGGCGGCUCACUGGCCCGGUACUGACGCUGAGGUGCGAAAGCGUGGGGAGCAAACAGG